rnacentral:lncRNA from 1 species
CUAACCAAUUAAUCAAUUCUAACUUCUUGCUUUGUCACCUAGUAAUGCAGAGUACCUGCAAGGGCACAGCUGAGUCACCGUAGCAGAGAGCUGCCUUCAACAGUGUUGCCUAACCAGGAGACCAAGGUGGCUCUUACCCUGUCCUGCCGUUUCCGUGGUUUAGACACAGCUGAAACUUCUCCCAGGAGCGUGAGACAACUGUAACCUCAAAGACUAUCUGGAAGGUAAGGAAUAAGGUGAGGCAGUUUUUAAAGACUGUAUAUUCCCGCC